UAAAUAAUAAAAAUCUCCAUUCCUAUUGGUCAAAAAUCAUGACCAAUGGGCUUUGAGGAGGCUGCCCGAGGCCAUAUUAGGGAUUAGGGUUAGUUUCUCGUGGCCAAUCGAACUUUGAAGGCUAGGGUCAGAAGGUUUAGGUUUUUGAUUAAGGUUUUGGUGCAAGUUUUGUGUCAUUUGGGGUUUUUAUGAAGAAGUUAUAGGCGCUCAAAGUUAAGGUGUUAGUUUUAGAUCUACUGUCACUCUUUUGGACAUAACGCACGCAUACGGAUGGCAAUUGAGGAUCGGCGACCGCGACUGGAGAGAGCACUUUUGCGGCUAUACUUUUCACAUACUGUUUACUGGAUUCCAAGUUGGGAUGAAGGAGUUAUUGGAUUUUGAAGUCAGCACAUGCAAUCUAAGGGUAGUAAGUAAACCGAUUUACUAGUGUUUGUCUCUUGAGCUAUAUCUUAAGCAAUUUUGUGAGGUUUUGGCUCAAAAUUUCAAGGAACGUGUAAUUUCAUGUUAGUAAACUUUGUGCAUAAGUUUUAUGACAUUUGGAGUUCGGAUUUUUGAGAUAUAAGGAAAAUAGUUUUCGGGUGCUUGUAAAUUAGGGUUUGGAGUGUCUAUUAGGGUUUCUUAGAUGCCAAAAGAUCGGGAGUGAAUUUGCGGUUGGUUUUUUUUGUGGUACAAGUUAAGGGUAAAUUCUACCUAUCUUGUAAAUUUGAAACAAUCUGAACGGUUAGAUCAAUAGUUAUAAUUUUCUAAAGUUCCGGGCGAGAAAACCCUUCGCGGGAAAAAUAUGUUUUGAAGGGAUUUUGUUAUAUUUGGAGUUUUAUACAAAAAAUAAAGGAGUUUUGGAAGCCAAGAAAAGAAUCAUAUAAAGAUUUAAGGUACACUCUCUACAGCUAGAUACCCAGUGUAUUCCCAGAUAGCAAAUCAUGCCAUACGACAUGGCUACCUUUGAUAUCUGGACUUCUUGAUCAGUUGAAUCAAACUAAGAUCUAUAUAAAAAUAGAUCUACGGAAAGCAUACAAUUUGGUAUACAUCAAAGAAAGAGAUGAGUAGAAGAUUGCGUUUCGAACAAGGUAUGGACAUUUUGAAUAUAACGUCAUGCCUUUUGGACUUACAAAUGCACCAAUAGUAUUCCAACAUCUAAUAAAUGAUGUCUUUGGGAGUUUUUAAAUGAUUUUAUUAUUUGUUACCUAGACGACAUCUUAAUCUAUUCUAAGAACCCUAAAGAAUAUGAACUUCAUGUUUGUCAAGUAUUACAAAAACUAAGAGAUGCACGACUCUAUACCAAGAUAGAAAAGUGUGUAUUUCAUACUACUCAAGUCGACUUCUUAGAAUACAUCAUUUCAAAUGAUGGACUUAUGAUAGAUCCUAAGAAAGUUCAAACUAUUAUGGAUUGGAAGAUCCCAAAAAUGGUAAGAGAUGUCCAAUACUUUUUGGGAUUUUCCAACUACUAUCGGAUCUUCAUCAAAGACUUCUUUCAAGUUGCAGCUCCACUUACACGUUUCACUUGCAAAGAAAAACUUCAAUGGAAUUAAGAAGCAGAAGUAGCAUUUGAAGCUUUGAAGACAGUCUUUCUUUCUACACCAAUCUUGUAUUGCAUCAAUUUUUCUAAGCCAUUUUUUAUAGAAAAAGAUGCAUCUUAUUUUGCUUAGGGUACCAUAUUGUCACAAAUGGAAAUAGAUGAUAAACUUCAUCCAAUAGCUUUUCAUUCCAGAAAAUUUUCAGCAGUCGAGAUCAACUAUGAGAUCCACGACAAAGAACUUCUUACAAUUGUAGAUUCAUUUCAAGAGUGGCACCAUUAUCUAGAAGGUGCUUCUAGUCUAGUCACAAUGUAUACAGAUCAUAAGAACCUUGAAUAUUUUAUAUCAGCACGUAUUUUCAAUCAUUGCCAAGCCCAUUGAAGUAUGAUUUUGUCAAGAUUUGAAUUCGAGAUUACUUAUUGACCAAGAAAUCAACAAGCUUUGUCAAAUGCACUCUUUAGACGAUCUCAUCUUGUACCAAAGGAAGGAGAUGCUACUUUUGAUCAACAAUGAAUAAUUCUCUUAAAGCUAGAGCAUCUUCAUUGCAUCUUUGAGCAAUGAAAUCAACACUAAUUAUUGAUUCAACUUUCAUUAAGUAAAUUCAGUCAAGUAUGUCUUUUGAUCCUCUUAUUCGUGAUAUUAAGGAAAAUCCUUCAAAGUCUCAUGAUACUUCCAAGUUUGAAUUCAAGAAUAAUCUACUACAUUUUGAAAGACACCUAUAUGUUCCAAAAGGUGAAGGUCGAUUACGUGUUCUUCAAGCUCAUCAUAAUUUUUCAGCAGCAUGACAUUUUGGGUACAAUAAAACUUUGGAAUUAAUAUCCAGGGACUUUUGGUAGCCCAAAAUGUGGAAAGUAGUUAAAGAUUUUGUACAAUCUUGUGAUGACUGCUCGAGAUCAAAAACUCCUCGUCAUCAACCUUACGGACUUCUUCAGCCAUUACCCAUUCCAAGAUAAUCAUGGUCUUCUAUUUCUAUGGAUUUCAUCACGGUGUCGUGUUGUAACACGAGUAUACAGUGAAAAUAAAAAGAAAGGGGGAUUUUAUUAAUAUUCAGUUAUCUCGAAUAUUGGGAGCAUCGACCAACUCCAGUACAAAUACUGAGUGGUCAGGUUCAGUGACUCCGUUACAGUCAGCCGGGGCAUACUGGAAUGCCCCGUUCGAUUCGAAUAACGGGAGUCAGUAGGAAGAGAAGGACCAAUUCACACGACGGGUUCGAGGAGCCAAUUGGAUCCAAUUUCGAUAAUCCAAUCCGGGUCCUCUUACCCAAUAUGAGACCUGUAUUGGAAGGGCAACCCAAUGCAGUCUAGUUACGGGAAAUCCAGGUCUUACUACGGGUCUUAGUCAAUCUGACGCAAGGACCAAUUUGACCCAAUUAUGGGAAAUCGAGGUCUUACUACGGAUCUUAGCCAAUCUGACGCGAGGACCAAUUUGACCCAAUUACGGGAACAUCCAGGUUAUUACGGGCAUCUUUCCCAAUAUAGGACCUGAAUUGGUCGGGCGACUCAAUGAAGUCCCGAUUACGGGGUUCGAUUCUGUUUCAGGCUGUCCUGUUCUCUGUGCCGUCUCAGGGAACGUUGUUUUCGGUAAAUGGAUUUCUUAAAGGUAAAAACGGAGGAGAAAGCUUGAGGUGGGAGCCAAUUCCGGAUCUAAGACGGAAGAUUGAAGAAAUUCAGAGGAUAAGGUUAGGGGGGAUAUAGUUUUGGAGUGGUGUGGAUUUUUAUUAAGGGUGGAUGGGAGGUUUUUGGAGAUCAAGGGAAUUAGAGAGAGGAGCUUCAUGCUUCGGGUCGGGGAAGGAAAGACAUAGGAUUUGGAUUUUUCUUCUUCGUAGAGUUUUGGGGAAGACUGAGGCUAUCGCUGCUGAAGUCAGUGUUGUACUGGUGAAUCGGGAUUUUUAAAUGAAGUGGGUUUGAAUACUCUUGACUGUUUUGUGAAAUCGAGUUACGUCUGUGAUUGAAGGAUUAAAAGGGUGUCUAUAGGAUUGAGUAUGCGGAGUGAAUGAAAUUUAUUGGGUUAAUCUAACAAGACAGUCAGUGGAUACAAGAUCGUAAGUACAAAGGAGUAUUGAAGGUUAACAGUUUGGGUUGUACGGGGUUCUCUGUAACGUCUAGAGACCUACCGGCUGGGACAAGAAGGACUCCGACAAGCAGUCGAAGAGCACCCGUAUAGAUUUACGGUACAUUGUUGCAGUCGUUUAUAUUCCAGCAGUCAAAAACUGAUAGACUGCUUGACUAUCGGCGAAUCUCCAUACUACCUUCUACAGCCAGACGCCCGGCGCGUUCUCGAGCAGGAAAGCACGUAAUACGACAACGGACCUUCCAACCUCAGGUUCUUAUGACUCUAUAUUCGUGAUAGUAGAUCGUUUUUCCUUAUUUUUUAUGGAAAACGAAAAUAAAAAUUUUGAAGGAUUUUUGGGAGAAAUUUCUGGUGGGGAGUCUUCUAAAGGACAAGGAUUAUCCAAGGAUAUUAUAUCAGAUAAGGAUAUUAUACUCAAUUUAUAUCAAGAUUUUAGCGAACUCUUUUCAAGAUGCUAAAAGUGGAUAUAAAACCAUCUUCGGUAUUCUAUCCUCAAACUGAUAGACAAAUAGAGCAUGUUAAUUAAGUUCUGAAGUAAUAUUUAAGAUGUACCAUUAAUUACCAAUAAGAUGAUUGGACAACUCUUAAGCCAUUGGUAGAGUUUGCUUACAAUAACAUGGUACAUUCUUCUAUAAAAUAAACACCUUUCUUUGCUAAUUAUGGUUAUCAUCUACUACUUGAUACUUUUGACUUUUCAAAAGUUGAUAAUCCUGCUGUGAAAGAUUUGGCAAUUCAUUUGUCAAAGCUACAUGCAAUGAUGAAGGUGCAGUUAAAAGAAGCUCAAGAACAAGAAUAGGUCAAUGCGGAUGUCUAUCAAAAGGAACAACCACCAUUCCACAUAGGUUAUAAGGUAUGGUUACUUUGUCGCAAUAUCAAGACCACUCAUUGUUGUGAUGAAUUGGACUAUUGAAGGCUUGGACUAUUUUCUAUUUCUACACAAAUCAAUCCAGUUGCAUAUCAUUUAUAUCUACUGGAGUCAAUAAAAAUCCAUCCAGUAUUCCACAUAUCUCUUCUUGAACCAUAUAAGAUAGUGGACAUACCAAGAAGAAGACAAGCUCCACGUCCUCCUAUAGAAGUGCACAAUAAUGAAGAGUUUGAAGUGGAAGAAGUCUUAGAUUCAAGGCAGUGCCAAAAUAAAUUGGAAUAUCUUCUCCAUUGGUACAGAUAUGAUAUUAGUGAAUGCACAUGGGAGCCAGUAAAAAAUCUUACAAAUGUAGCAAAGGCAAUGGAGGCUUUUCAUCCACGUCAUCCAUUAAAAUUAAGAUGAAAACCUUCUUUAUAAAAGAAACAAGAUCUAGACUAGAUAUUAUGAUUGUCUCAACCUUUAAGACGAUGCAAUCGAGAUAAAGAUCUUCAAGAACGACAUGUUCUUCCUUGAAUAGAUGGCAAAAUAUAAUGUGUUUGGUAUAACAAGGAUAAUGGAUAACGAUUCUUCUUUGUCACCUUGUUAAAACUUCAAUAAUUCCGCAGCGAGCCAUCUUUCUUCUUCACAAAUAAGAUUGGUGCCUCAACUAGUGACUUUGAAUGAUGAAUGAAGCUCUUGACUAGAUUCUUGUCAAUGUACUUUUGCAAUUCUACUAACUCUGUCUACGAAAAAUUGUAGAUUGGGCCAAAAGGUGGUUGUGCUCCUUCUUGUAAGUCUAUGGUACAAUCGUAUGGUCAAUGCUCCGGUAGCAUGUCGGCAUUCUUCUUUUGAAACACGUCUUCAAAAUCUUUACAUUGCUACAAUAUACUUGGUGUCGAAAUCUUCUCUCCGCUAGUUGGAGUCGCAUAAAUGACAAACAGUGUGCCUUUUUUAAACGAUGUUACAAACACUCUUGUUCCAGUAAAUAAGGAUUUUUUGAUUCAAAAUCUUCUAACAAACUUAUUCUUAGAAUGUUCUAUAGGAAAUGUCAUCUUUCGUAACCUUCAAUCUAUAGAUGGAUUAUGCAUUUUUAACCAAGAAAGACGAAGAAUAACAGGGUUUGAUGGAAUUCUAAUAAUAUUGAAAAUAAUAUAACUACUAUAGUCUUUAAACGUCACCUCUAUAGAUUCUGAUUCAUGGGUGACACUAUUGGACAAUAAAGGUCGUCCAUCUAUUAUUUCAAUGUGAACGGGUUUAGAUUUUUGUACUAAAAGAAUCUCGUGAUGCUUAGCAAAUUCUUUGUCUAAAAAACAAGCAGAUGCUCUUGAAUCUAAUAAUGCAAAGGUUUUUAAUUUUUGAAGGCUAAAAGAUAGAAGAAUGGUAAAGUAAUGGACAGAUUGAGCAAAAAGAGAGGAACCUGAUUAUUGUUGUGGUAUUGAAUUGUCUAGCCGCACGAUCCCUAUUAUGGCUAGGCAUCAUCGUUUUCAUGAACAAAUGUGCCUCUAGUCUUGAAAAUGCAUCGAUUUUGCUUCUUGGGGAAGUUUUAAGCUCUGUGGCCUUCUUCACCGCAAUACAAGCAUAGUCCUUCCUCCAUACGCCACUUUUUUUCUUCUAGAGUUAGGAAUUUGAUAUGUACCGUAUUAAUUUGUAUGUCUUCUACCUCUAAAUGUGAAUUCAGGCUGCUUGCUGACAUAGUUGGAGCAUGGUGAGCUAUAUGUUAUCUUGAACAUUAGUCUUGGCGACGUUGGAAUAGGCGAUUAUUAUACUUCACUGCUUGGCUUAUGGCUUCGUUAAGCAUUUGCGAAUUGGAAAGAGAUAAUAACAAAUCCUUUAAAUUGCCUCUCAAGCCCCAAUAAAAUUGAUUCAUCAAUGCUUCCUCGUCUCAGUUGAUAUCGCAUGCUAAUUGUCUGAAAUCUCAUGCAUAGACUGACGGGGAGGGUGCUCCUUGUCGUAGUGACUGGAUCUUUCUUAUAGCUCAUCGUGCCUUAUCAUAUUUGCCAAAUGCUUUUGUAAAUGCCUCCAAAAAAAUUUCAAAGUUGUUCAAAAUUGACAAUUCUUUCUCAAACAAAGGAAUAAAUCAUGAUAGAGCUUGUCUCGUGAACAAAGUUCCAACCAUUCCAACAUGUGACUCCUCCGUUGGAUAGCGUUCAGGCUGUAAAGCUGUUAUCAAUCUAAUUUCAUUGACAAAACCUCGAAACUUAGAACGCGUACCAUCAAACUUAUUUGGAAGGCUAAUUCGGGGCUCCUUUCGUUGUAAGACCAAUGAUCCUAGUUGAACUAGAGGUAAAGUUGCUUCUCUUGGUACUGAAGCUUGAGGCUGAUGAAUCCUCGAUUGUGCCAUUUCGGAUGCUCCAAUAUCAUGAAGUCUUAUAAUGAAUCCUGCAAUCUCUGCAAUUCUCUGUGUUAAUGUAAUAAGAGCAUUCAUAAUGGCAUCCAACUUGGAUUUUGAACUUUUAGUCAUACUAGUAUCUUGAUCUCCUUCCAUUCUAAGAAGCUAAUCUAUGAAGCUUCUCAAGCAGCUUCCACAAGCUAGAAAGCUUCUCAAGCAGCUUCCACAAGCUAGAAAGCUUCUCAAGCAGCUUCCACAAACUACAAAGCUUCUCUAUAACCUUCUAGAAUCUUCUAUAACUUCCUAGUGUAUGUCCUUGACAUCCUAUCUUUUUUUCUUUCUCUUUUUGCCAAUAAUCCUACUACCUCUUCAAUUUCUUUCUAAUUUGUUUUCAAUCUUUUAUCUUCUUCUUUAUCUUCAAGCAAGAUUUCCAACUUCUCUUAUAACUCUUCAUCAACUGCUUAAAAAAAUAGCUCUACCUUAUUUGGAUCCAAAAAUUGCCUUUUUUUCUUUGAUAAAGAAUAAUAUUACUUUUCAAACUUCCUUAAUAAUUUUGUUGCUAAAAGACCCUUCUCUGGCCUUUCAAUCCAUUCAAAAAAAGACUUUUUUGUAACCCUAUCACUAUCUUCUAAGAAAAACUCAUCCUUCAAUGCUUGAGAAAAUUUCUCCCAUGAACCUUCAAAAUGUCCUAUAAGAGACUUUAUUUGAUUUCUUAUCUCUCGUGCAGAGGCUAAUUCAAAUAAUUGAACCAUCUCUCUUAUUGAAAUAUGCUUCAAUUCUAUUUUCUUUACAAAACAUCUUAAAUAUUUUAUAAUAUUCUUUCCUUCAAAUUGAUCGAUCUUAUCUACAAUUACUUAUGAUGCUUUGUUAGCCAUACUCUCUUUGCAAUCUUUAACAUGUUGGUAUUGUUGUUGCAUGAAUAAAGUAAAAGUAUUAAAUAUGCUUGCAGAGUUAGGAUCAAAAUACAUACCUUGUCCUCUAAUCAAAGUUCUUCUUCCAACUCUACUCAAAGCACCACUUCCAAUUCUACUUGAAGUUCUACUUCCAACUCCACUUGAAGCACCAUCAAAAAAUCUUCCUACCAUCAUCUUGCCUUCAUUUUCCAAAAUUAAAAUAAUCCAAGAAAAAAAAAUUACUUCCACCUCAAGCGUUUCACAUUAGUGUCGGAGUAGAGAAAGUUUGCCUCAAGAAAGCAAUGGACUUCUAGCUGCCACUCAAUGCUCAAUCAAGUCUAAGAUAUAAAAGUACCAAGUUUAUAUAUAUAAUAUAUUCUCUUUUAGGGCAAUUACAUCAAUAUAUAAGCCUAAGUACAAAGAAAACACCCAAAUGUAUGAUAAAGUAUCUUAAAACCUUAUACAUUAUUAUGAGAAAUGUUUUUCAAACUUCAAAAACUCAUAUCUUAGGAUUGGACCAUCCAAGCAACCUAAAAUUUUACAUAAAGUACUGCUAUUUUUUCAAAUACUACGAUAAAAAAAAUUCAACUGCAAAUUUAUUACAGAUCUUGAGAUAUCAUCAAAACCCUAAUAGUAGCUUUAAAUCCUAGCUUACAUAUACCCACAUACUGAUUUCUUCAUAUUUCACAAAAUAAGUACUUAAAUACUAUGAAACUUUAAUCUAUAGCUUUUAAACUUAAUAAUAUACAGUUAUAGAAAUUUUGAGCCAAAAAUUCGUCCAAAAACUUAAGAUAUGGCUCCAACCAUUACUAUCAACAAAAUGAUUCACUUAUUGCCUUUGAAUUAGAUGUGCAAUCUUCAAUGCCCUAUAACUCCUUCAUCUAGACUUAAAAUUCAUCAAAUGAUACAUGUAAAAUAUAGCCAAGAAAGUGUUCUCUUCAAUUCCAAUUGCUGAUCUUUCAUUGCUCCUCAUACGCAUAUGUUAUGCUUCAAAGAGUAAUAGUAGGUACAAAUUUGACACCUUAACUUUGAACACCUAUAUCUCCUUCACAAAAACUCGAAAUUAGAUAAAAUCUUCAUCCAAUCUAUACCCAAAACCUUGAACUUGCUGGCCUCUAAAGCUCAAAUGACUUCGAAAGAAAAACCCUAAUCCCUAAUAAGGCCUUCGGCAGCCUCCUUAAAGCCCAUUGGGCAUGGCCUUCGACCAAUAGGAAUAAAGAUCUCCAUUCCUUGCCUUCAUCCAACCAUGCCUUGCUUUCAUC
rnacentral:lncRNA from 1 species